UACGUAGGGGGCAAGCGUUGUCCGGAAUUAUUGGGCGUAAAGCGCGCGCAGGCGGCUCUGUAAGUCUGGUGUUUAACCCUGGGGCUCAACCUUAGGUCGCACUGGAAACUGCAAGGCUUGAGUACAGAAGAGGAAAGUGGAAUUCCACGUGUAGCGGUGAAAUGCGUAGAGAUGUGGAGGAACACCAGUGGCGAAGGCGACUUUCUGGGCUGUAACUGACGCUGAGGCGCGAAAGCGUGGGGAGCGAACAGG
rnacentral:rRNA from 1 species